rnacentral:rRNA from 1 species
GAUGAACGCUAGCGGCAGGCUUAAUACAUGCAAGUCGAGGGGCAUCAAGGUACACGAAAGUGUAUUGUUGGCGACCGGCGGACGGGUGAGUAAUAGGUAGGUAACCUACCUCAUACUGAGGCAUAGCUGGGAGAAAUUCCAGGUAAUUCCUCAUGAGGUUAUAUGACACAUGUGAUAUAAUCAAAGGUAUCGCAAGGUACUGGUAUGAGAUGGGCUUACUGACCAUUAGCUAGUUGGUGAGAUAAGAGCUCACCAAGGCGAAGAUGGUUAGGGGUUUUGAGAGAGAGAUCCCCCAAUUGGAACUGAGAUACGGUCCAGACUCCUACGGGAGCAGCAGUAGGGAAUAUUGGGCAAUGGGCGGAAGCCUGACCCAGCCAUGCCGCGUGAAGGAAGACGGCCUUAUGGGUUGUAAACUUCUUUACUAUGCGACUAACUAGAUUUACGAGAUAAUUCUAUAGAAUGUAGCAUAGCAAAAAGCACCGGA